GCCUGGGUGGCUCAGUCGGUUGAGCAUCCGACUUCGGCUCAGGUCAUGAUCUCGCAGUUUGUGAGUUCGAGCCCCGCAUCGGGCU
rnacentral:tRNA from 1 species